rnacentral:rRNA from 1 species
UCAGGAUGAACGCUAGCGACAGGCUUAACACAUGCAAGUCGAGGGGCGAGCGGAGGCGAGAGCUUGCUCUCGCCUGCCGGCGACCGGCGCACGGGUGAGUAACACGUAUGCAACCUGCCCCUGCAGGAGGAUAACCGGGAGAAAUCCCGACUAAUACUGCAUAACACCCUGGGGCCACAUGGCUUCGGGGUCAAAGGAAGCAAUUCCGGCAGGGGAUGGGCAUGCGGCGCAUUAGCCAGUUGGCGGGGUAACGGCCCACCAAAGCGACGAUGCGUAGGGGUUCUGAGAGGAAGGUCCCCCACAUUGGUACUGAGACACGGACCAAACUCCUACGGGAGGCAGCAGUGAGGAAUAUUGGUCAAUGGGCGCAAGCCUGAACCAGCCAAGUCGCGUGAGGGAUGACGGUCCUAUGGAUUGUAAACCUCUUUUGUCGGGGAGCAAGGCCCGCCACGUGUGGCGGGAAGGAGAGUACCCGAAGAAAAAGCAUCGGCUAACUCCGUG